rnacentral:tRNA from 1 species
ACUAUUUUGGCAGAAAAGAAAAGUGCAAUAGAUUUAGAAUCUAAUUAUAUGAUGAUAUCAUAGAUAGUA